rnacentral:rRNA from 1 species
AAUGAACGCUGGCGGCAGGCCUAACACAUGCAAGUCGAACGGGCACUUCGGUGCUAGUGGCGGACGGGUGAGUAACGCGUGGGAACGUGCCCCUUGGUACGGAAUAGCCCCGGGAAACUGGGAGUAAUACCGUAUGUGGUCGAGAGACGAAAGAUUUAUCGCCAAGGGAUCGGCCCGCGUUGGAUUAGGUAGUUGGUGGGGUAAUGGCCUACCAAGCCGACGAUCCAUAGCUGGUUUGAGAGGAUGAUCAGCCACACUGGGACUGAGACACGGCCCAGGCUCCUACGGGAGGCAGCAGUGGGGAAUCGUGGACAAUUGGCGAAAGCCUGAUCCAGCCAUGCCGCGUGAGUGAUGAAGGCCCUAGGGUUGUAAAGCUCUUUCACCGAUGAAGAUAAUGACGGUAGUCGGAGAAGAAGCCCCGGCUAACUUCGUGCCAGCAGCCGCCGUAA